ACGGAAGGCAGCAGUGAGGAAUAUUGGUCAAUGGGCGAGAGCCUGAACUAGCCAAGUCGCGUGAGGGAAGACGGCCCUAUGGGUUGUAAACCUCUUUUGCCGGGGGAUAAAGUCUGGGAUGCGUCCCAGUUUGCAGGUACCCGGUGAAUAAGGAUCGGCUAACUCCGUGCCAGCAGCCGCGGUAAUACGGAGGAUCCGAGUGUUAUCCGGAUUUAUUGGGUUUAAAGGGUGCGCAGGCGGUGGAUCAAGUCAGUGGUGAAAUGGUGCGGCUCAACCGUAGCAUUGCCGUUGAAACUGGUUCACUUGAGUGCGGACGAGGCAGGCGGAAUGUGUUGUGUAGCGGUGAAAUGCUUAGAUAUCAUGAAGAACUCCGAUUGCGAAGGCAGCUGUCCGGGGUGUAACUGACGCUAAUGCUCGAAAGUGCGGGUAUCAAACAGGAUUAGAUACCCUGGUA
rnacentral:rRNA from 1 species